GACGAACGCUGGCGGCGUGCUUAACACAUGCAAGUCGAACGGAAAGGCCCCUUCGGGGGUACUCGAGUGGCGAACAGGUGAGUAACACGUGAGUAACCUGCCCUUGACUUCGGGAUAACUUCAGGAAACUGGGGCUAAUACCGGAUAGGAAUCCUUGCUGCAUGGUGGGGGUUGGAAAGCUUCGGCGGUUCUGGAUGGACUCGCGGCUUAUCAGCUUGUUGGUGGGGUAGUGGCUUACCAAGGCUUUGACGGGUAGCCGGCCUGAGAGGGCGACCGGCCACAUUGGGACUGAGAUACGGCCCAGACUCCUACGGGAGGCAGCAGUGGGGAAUAUUGCACAAUGGGCGGAAGCCUGAUGCAGCAACGCCGCGUGCGGGAUGACGGCCUUCGGGUUGUAAACCGCUUUCAGCAGGGGCGAAGCUUGUGGUGACGGUACCUGCAGAAGAAGCACCGGCUAACUACGUG
rnacentral:rRNA from 1 species